rnacentral:lncRNA from 1 species
GGGGUCGAGUACUUCUGCACUUGUGAGGAGUUCACCUUCUCUCCUUUGAUAAAUAUCAGAGGGGAUAUGAUAUUCUCAACUUAUUGGAUCUUACUUGUCUAGUUUCGAAUUGGGAAAGAGAGGGUUAAGGAAAUCUAGCACCAUUAUCUUGUACGAGAGCACCGGAGUGUGUUGAUAGAUACUCUCCUCUUCUCCAAUUGAAAACUUUUCUUUGCGAGGAGUCUCUUUGGU